GACGAACGCUGGCGGCGUGCUUAACACAUGCAAGUCGAACGAUGAAGCCGGAGCUUGCUCUGGUGAAUUAGUGGCGAACGGGUGAGUAACACGUGAGUAACCUGCCCUUGACUCUGGGAUAACUGCGGGAAACUGUAGCUAAUACCGGAUACGACCCUCGGAGGCAUCUCCUGGGGGUGGAAAGAAUUUCGGUCAAGGAUGGACUCGCGGCCUAUCAGCUAGUUGGUGAGGUGACGGCUCACCAAGGCGACGACGGGUAGCCGGCCUGAGAGGGGAACCGGCCACACUGGGACUGAGACACGGCCCAGACUCCUACGGGAGGCAGCAGUGGGGAAUAUUGCACAAUGGGCGCAAGCCUGAUGCAGCAACGCCGCGUGAGGGAUGAAGGCCUUCGGGUUGUAAACCUCUUUUAGCAGGGAAGAAGCGAAAGUGACGGUACCUGCAGAAAAAGCACCGGCUAACUACGUGCCAGCCGCCGCCGUAA
rnacentral:rRNA from 1 species